rnacentral:rRNA from 1 species
CUCAAUAAGCGGAGGAAAAGAAACCAACAGGGAUUGCCUCAGUAACGGCGAGUGAAGCGGCAACAGCUCAAAUUUGAAAUCUGGCCCCAGGCCCGAGUUGUAAUUUGCAGAGGAUGCUUUUGGCGCGGUGCCUUCCGAGUUCCCUGGAACGGGACGCCAUAGAGGGUGAGAGCCCCGUACGGUUGGACACCAAGCCUUUGUAAAGCUCCUUCGACGAGUCGAGUAGUUUGGGAAUGCUGCUCUAAAUGGGAGGUAUAUUUCUUCUAAAGCUAAAUAUAGGCCAGAGACCGAUAGCGCACAAGUAGAGUGAUCGAAAGAUGAAAAGCACUUUGAAAAGAGGGUUAAACAGCACGUGAAAUUGUUAAAAGGGAAGCGCUUGUGACCAGACUUGCGUCCGGUGAAUCACCCAGCUCUCGCGGCUGGGGCACUUUGCCGGCACAGGCCAGCAUCAGCUCGCUGUCGGGGACAAAAGCUUCGGGAACGUAGCUCUCUUCGGGGAGUGUUAUAGCCCGUUGCAUAAUACCCUUCGGUGGGCUGAGGUACGCGCUCCGCAAGGAUGCUGGCGUAAUGGUCAUCAGCGACCCGUCUUGAAACACGGACCAAGGAGUCAACCUUAUGUGCGAGUGUUUGGGUGUUAAACCCCUACGCGUAAUGAAAGUGAACGCAGGUGAGAGCUUCGGCGCAUCAUCGACCGAUCCUGAUGUUCUCGGAUGGAUUUGAGUAAGAGCAUAUAGGGUUGGACCCGAAAGAAGGUGAACUAUGCGUGUAUAGGGUGAAGCCAGAGGAAACUCUGGUGGAGGCUCGCAGCGGUUCUGACGUGCAAAUCGAUCGUCAAAUAUGCGCAUGGGGGGCGAAAGACUAAUCGAACCUUCUAGUAGCUGGUUCC